rnacentral:rRNA from 1 species
CCUACGGGAGGCAGCAGUGGGGAAUUUUGCGCAAUGGGGGCAACCCUGACGCAGCAACGCCGCGUGAGUGAUGAAGGCCUUCGGGUCGUAAAGCUCUGUCAGAGGGGAAGAAAUGCAGGGGGUGAACAACCAUUCUGUUUGACGGUACCCUCAAAGGAAGCACCGGCUAACUCCGUGCCAGCAGCCGCGGUAAUACGGAGGGUGCGAGCGUUGUUCGGAAUUAUUGGGCGUAAAGCGCGUGUAGGCGGUUGGUUAAGUCGGAGGUGAAAGCCCCGGGCUCAACCGGGGAAGUGCAUCGGAUACUGGCAGACUUGAGGACGGGAGAGGAGAGUGGAAUUCCCAGUGUAGGGGUGAAAUCCGUAGAUAUUGGGAGGAACACCGGUGGCGAAGGCGGCUCUCUGGACCGAUACUGACGCUGAGACGCGAAAGCGUGGGGAGCAAACGGGAUUAGAUACCCUGGUAGU